rnacentral:lncRNA from 1 species
AGAUUAUUCCAAAUAUAUUAUGCUAUUGAGGUUUGAAAAGCUUAGUUCCGUAGCUGCUAGGAGUCACACAUCACAGGGUGUGUGCUAGCUGUGGAAGAGAGAAAUACCUUCCCUCUCAUGGAGUGCAGUAGCAUUGGAAUAACUGAAGAGAUUCAUGAUCACACAGGUUGUACCAUGGCUAGUAUCACUGUGAUGCUAAGACUUUAAUUGAUGAAGACAUAGUAGAGACCCAAGACUAUUGGUUUGCCUACAAUGAAAUAAUGACAGUGGAGAGUUUGACCUGUGCUAUGUCCAAACUAGCUCUGCAAUUUGAAACAUGAUUGAAGCUCCAAGUGCUAAAUCUCAUCCUGUUGUAGUAUUGUUGUUUGGAGAAGUUUUUGAGAAAGAACCCCAGAUGUUUUACAUGGAGACUUCAGGGAUUCUGGUACAAUGCAAUGUUCAAGCAU